rnacentral:lncRNA from 1 species
UUUGUAAAAUUAACUUUCAAGAAAAUAGGUGCUCCAUUACCAAGACUACAGAGAGAUACCCUUCUUCCUCAACAAAGAUGGUCAAUUCUUAUUGGUACAUUUGUAUAUAUAUGUAUACAAACCAAUUCUAAGAAAAUAGACCACUAAUGUCGACUUAGUUGAAAAAUCGAAAAGAAAAUUGGAAAAUCAAAAGGAACAAUAAUGUAAUUCAAGGUAAAUAUAAAAUUUUAAAAGACAAUUCUGCGUAGGGACAUACACAGAAACCAACAUAUUAAGGUCGAACACUGGCCUGACAUGAAUAAUUCAUAGUUAGAUGAUGUUUUUUUUUACUGCAUAGAGAAUAAUGGUUGAAAAAUAAAGAAUGGACAACAUUGGCAAAGAAUAAUCAAGAAUACAGAAUUAAAGACCCAUCCAUAAUUCGUGGAAGGCCAUGGUAAAUGACAAAUACAUACACAAAUUUGCAAUGAUUUGGGAAGCAUAAAAUCCACUGAUGUAUUGAGAUAUAUGUAAUUCUCAAAUCAAUAGAAUUUAUAGAUAUGAAAAGUGCAUAUACAUGUUGCGACUAAUGAAGUUAUGUACAUGCUAGUACAGAAGGAAGGAUGUAAUAGAUAUAUCUUGAUAUAUACAAAUCUAAAUUGAAAACAACGUUCAAACCUAUGAUUGCGUUGGAUAAAAACCGCAAUUUUUAUACAUGUGCAUGUAGCAAAUGUCGUUGUAGAGGGGUCUAAAUACAGCACAAACAACAUUUUCCAAACCAAAAAGAGUGAACAAAUAUAUUUUAACAAAACGCAUUUGACAAGCAGGUCGAACAACUGAUGUUCUUAAACCCUGCUGACUGCCAUUGACGAUUGCCAAAUAAAUUGAUCACAAGGUGUAACAAAUGGAUCUCUAUAAUAAUUUAAUACCAAGUGAAAACAAUAAACGUGCGGCAAAAACAUGAGGUGCUAGAUUUUUUACACCAUAUCCAGAUUUCGUCAAUAAAUGUCUCUUCAGUGAUGUUAGGGAUCGAAAAGUAUUUGGAAGUAUCUGGAGAUAUAUAUAUAUAUAUAUAUGUAAAUCAUGUAAGUAUCAACAUCUGUUUACCCUAUAAUAGCUAAAUAAUAUUACUGAUUAUCCACGUCCAGUCUAAAGACUGUAUAUCAAUCGACCUACAGUUAAAUCGUUGGUGUGCUUUCAGACAUUAUUUUUGUAGAUUUAAUAAACAUAUCAAUAAAGCAUGCAGGCAGACUAAAAAGCUAUACAACACAGCUGUAUGCUUUUUUUAUAUAGACAAUAUGAAAUGCCAAGAACACAGGUUUUUUUUUAUUCUAGAGGGUUUGUGCGUUCAUGUCUUUUUACGACAUUUAUUAAAGCGAAC